GAUCAUGGCUCAGGAUGAACGCUAGCGACAGGCUUAACACAUGCAAGUCGAGGGGCAGACAUAAAAGUAGCAAUACUUGGUGGCGACCGGCGCACGGGUGAGUAACGCGUAUGCAACCUACCUAUCAGAGGGGAAUAACCCGGCGAAAGUCGGACUAAUACCGCAUAAAACAGGGACACCGCAUGGUGAUAUUUGUUAAAGAAAUUCGCUGAUAGAUGGGCAUGCGUUCCAUUAGGUAGUUGGUGAGGUAACGGCUCACCAAGCCGACGAUGGAUAGGGGAACUGAGAGGUUGGUCCCCCACACUGGUACUGAGACACGGACCAGACUCCUACGGGAGGCAGCAGUGAGGAAUAUUGGUCAAUGGGCGAGAGCCUGAACCAGCCAAGUCGCGUGAAGGAAAAGAAGGAUCUAUGGUUCGUAAACUUCUUUUGCAGGGGAAUAAAGUGCAGGACGUGUCCUGUUUUGUAUGUACCCUGAGAAUAAGGAUCGGCUAACUCCGUGCCAGCAGCAGC
rnacentral:rRNA from 1 species